rnacentral:other from 2 species
GCGGGGCUGCGGGAUGCGGCAGGUUAUACGUAUUCCCCGGGGCCUUAUCGAUCCUUAGGGAGCUGUCCCUGGGGAGGUCCGUGGACUUCCUCAUAACGGCGCCCACCUACUCUUGUAGGUUCCCGGGAUCGACAAACCACCGAUCGCUGCGGCUCCGCA